GAGCAUCUUUUGGGGGGAGGGAAUUCAGCGGAUCAGUCUUAAGAGGAGCUUUUUUUUGGAGCGAGAAAUCAUAUAAAAUAAAAUGAAAUAAAACAAGGAGGAAGGCAACCAGCUGUUAGGGGAAAAAUAAGGCAGAUAAAGGAGCGGGGAGAGAAAUUAAUUGCCAACCAGGAGGAGUUGGGCUGUAUUUUUCAAAGGUGGGGAGAGUGGAGCACACACCUUGAGGAGGAAAGCGAGAAAGAAAAGAAAAA
rnacentral:lncRNA from 10 species